AGUAGCUCAGUUGGUUAGAGCAUCUGACUGUUAAUCAGAGGGUCGUUGGUUCGAGCCCAACC
rnacentral:tRNA from 3 species